GAUUUUAUAGUGAAAUUCACAUCAUUAUUUCAUGAUGAUAAUGUUAAGACUUCUUUAUCU
rnacentral:tRNA from 1 species